rnacentral:rRNA from 1 species
UUAAGCGACUAAGCGUACACGGUGGAUGCCCUGGCAGUCAGAGGCGAUGAAGGACGUGCUAAUCUGCGAUAAGCGCCGGUAAGGUGAUAUGAACCGUUAUAACCGGCGAUUUCCGAAUGGGGAAACCCAGUGUGAUUCGUCACACUAUCAUUAACUGAAUCCAUAGGUUAAUGAGGCGAACCGGGGGAACUGAAACAUCUAAGUACCCCGAGGAAAAGAAAUCAACCGAGAUUCCCCCAGUAGCGGCGAGCGAACGGGGAGGAGCCCAGAGCCUGAAUCAGCAUGUGUGUUAGUGGAAGCGUCUGGAAAGGCGCGCGAUACAGGGUGACAGCCCCGUACACAAAAGCGCAUGUGCUGUGAGCUCGAUGAGUAGGGCGGGACACGUGGUAUCCUGUCUGAAUAUGGGGGGACCAUCCUCCAAGGCUAAAUACUCCUGACUGACCGAUAGUGAACCAGUACCGUGAGGGAAAGGCGAAAAGAACCCCGGCGAGGGGAGUGAAAAAGAACCUGAAACCGUGUACGUACAAGCAGUGGGAGCACAGGUUUACCUGUGUGACUGCGUACCUUUUGUAUAAUGGGUCAGCGACUUAUAUUCUGUAGCAAGGUUAACCGUAUAGGGGAGCCGGAGGGAAACCGAGUCUUAAUUGGGCGUUAAGUUGCAGGGUAUAGACCCGAAACCCGGUGAUCUAGCCAUGGGCAGGUUGAAGGUUGGGUAACACUAACUGGAGGACCGAACCGACUAAUGUUGAAAAAUUAGCGGAUGACCUGUGGCUGGGGGUGAAAGGCCAAUCAAACCGGGAGAUAGCUGGUUCUCCCCGAAAGCUAUUUAGGUAGCGCCUCGUGAAUUCAUCUCCGGGGGUAGAGCACUGUUUCGGCUAGGGGGCCAUCCCGGCUUACCAACCCGAUGCAAACUGCGAAUACCGGAGAAUGUUAUCACGGGAGACACACGGCGGGUGCUAACGUCCGUCGUGAAGAGGGAAACAACCCAGACCGCCAGCUAAGGUCCCAAAGUCAUGGUUAAGUGGGAAACGAUGUGGGAAGGCCCAGACAGCCAGGAUGUUGGCUUAGAAGCAGCCAUCAUUUAAAGAAAGCGUAAUAGCUCACUGGUCGAGUCGGCCUGCGCGGAAGAUGUAACGGGGCUAAACCAUGCACCGAAGCUGCGGCAGCGAACGUAUCACCCAAGACAACUUUACGGAGUUGACGAUUGACGGAGCGAAGCGACGUCAAAGCGUUCAUUAAAGUCGAGUUGGCUUAGGGAUACGUUCGUUGGGUAGGGGAGCGUUCUGUAAGCCUGUGAAGGUGUGUCGUGAGGCAUGCUGGAGGUAUCAGAAGUGCGAAUGCUGACAUAAGUAACGAUAAAGCGGGUGAAAAGCCCGCUCGCCGGAAGACCAAGGGUUCCUGUCCAACGUUAAUCGGGGCAGGGUGAGUCGACCCCUAAGGCGAGGCCGAAAGGCGUAGUCGAUGGGAAACGGGUUAAUAUUCCCGUACUUGGUGUUACUGCGAAGGGGGGGACGGAGAAGGCUAUGUUGGCCGGGCGACGGUUGUCCCGGUUUAAGCGUGUAGGUGUGUGUUCCAGGUAAAUCCGGUUCACUUUAACACUGAGGCGUGACGACGAGGCACUACGGUGCUGAAGCAACAAAUGCCCUGCUUCCAGGAAAAGCCUCUAAGCAUCAGGUAACACGAAAUCGUACCCCAAACCGACACAGGUGGUCAGGUAGAGAAUACCAAGGCGCUUGAGAGAACUCGGGUGAAGGAACUAGGCAAAAUGGUGCCGUAACUUCGGGAGAAGGCACGCUGACACGUAGGUGAAGUGAUUUACUCAUGGAGCUGAAGUCAGUCGAAGAUACCAGCUGGCUGCAACUGUUUAUUAAAAACACAGCACUGUGCAAACACGAAAGUGGACGUAUACGGUGUGACGCCUGCCCGGUGCCGGAAGGUUAAUUGAUGGGGUCAGCGCAAGCGAAGCUCCUGAUCGAAGCCCCGGUAAACGGCGGCCGUAACUAUAACGGUCCUAAGGUAGCGAAAUUCCUUGUCGGGUAAGUUCCGACCUGCACGAAUGGCGUAAUGAUGGCCAGGCUGUCUCCACCCGAGACUCAGUGAAAUUGAACUCGCUGUGAAGAUGCAGUGUACCCGCGGCAAGACGGAAAGACCCCGUGAACCUUUACUAUAGCUUGACACUGAACAUUGAGCCUUGAUGUGUAGGAUAGGUGGGAGGCUUUGAAGUGUGGACGCCAGUCUGCAUGGAGCCGACCUUGAAAUACCACCCUUUAAUGUUUGAUGUUCUAACGUGGACCCGUAAUCCGGGUUGCGGACAGUGUCUGGUGGGUAGUUUGACUGGGGCGGUCUCCUCCUAAAGAGUAACGGAGGAGCACGAAGGUUGGCUAAUCCUGGUCGGACAUCAGGAGGUUAGUGCAAUGGCAUAAGCCAGCUUGACUGCGAGCGUGACGGCGCGAGCAGGUGCGAAAGCAGGUCAUAGUGAUCCGGUGGUUCUGAAUGGAAGGGCCAUCGCUCAACGGAUAAAAGGUACUCCGGGGAUAACAGGCUGAUACCGCCCAAGAGUUCAUAUCGACGGCGGUGUUUGGCACCUCGAUGUCGGCUCAUCACAUCCUGGGGCUGAAGUAGGUCCCAAGGGUAUGGCUGUUCGCCAUUUAAAGUGGUACGCGAGCUGGGUUUAGAACGUCGUGAGACAGUUCGGUCCCUAUCUGCCGUGGGCGCUGGAGAACUGAGGGGGGGCUGCUCCUAGUACGAGAGGACCGGAGUGGACGCAUCACUGGUGUUCGGGUUGUCAUGCCAAUGGCACUGCCCGGUAGCUAAAUGCGGAAGAGAUAAGUGCUGAAAGCAUCUAAGCACGAAACUUGCCCCGAGAUGAGUUCUCCCUGAGACUUAGAGUCUCCUGAAGGAACGUUGAAGACGACGACGUUGAUAGGCCGGGUGUGUAAGCGCAGCGAUGCGUUGAGCUAACCGGUACUAAUGAACCGUGAGGCUUAACCUU